GAAUUGUCAAAUUCCUUUUUGGUCAAAAGUCAACUUUGAGUUCAUAAUUUAGUCAAAGGGCAAAAUUGUCUUUCCACAUCAUAAAUUACUCAUUCAAUAUGAAUUUUAGGUUUGGGUCAUUACACCGCAUGUCUACGAACUCAUAUUGUCGACCUGUACGCAAUGGUACCACCCAAAUCUCCAAAUUCUUUUUCCAAACAAAAAGUCAACUUUAAACCUAAUAAAAUAUUCCGGGGUAUUCUAGUCCUUUCCUUGA
rnacentral:lncRNA from 1 species